GAUGGAGAAGCUUGCUCUCCAAAGUUAGUGGCGAACGGGUGAGUAACGCGUGGGCAACCUGCCUUUCAGAGGGGGACAACAGUUGGAAACGACUGCUAAUACCGCAUAACAUGAUCUGGCCGCAUGACCGGAUCAUCAAAGAUUUAUCGCUGAAAGAUGGGCUCGCGUCUGAUUAGCUAGUUGGUGGGGUUAAACGGCCCACCAAGGCGACGAUCAGUAGCCGGACUGAGAGGUUGAACGGCCACAUUGGGACUGAGAUACGGCCCAGACUCCUACGGGAGGCAGCAGUGGGGAAUAUUGGGCAAUGGGGGCAACCCUGACCCAGCAACGCCGCAUGAAGGAAGAAGGCUUUCGGGUUGUAAACUUCUUUUACCAGGGACGAAGACGUGACGGUACCUGGAGAAAAAGCCACGGCUAACUACGUG
rnacentral:rRNA from 1 species